rnacentral:rRNA from 1 species
CAGGGAAUCUUGCACAAUGGGCGAAAGCCUGAUGCAGCGACGCCGCGUGGGGGAUGAAGGCCUUAGGGUCGUAAACCCCUUUCAGCAGGGACGAAAAUGACGGUACCUGCAGAAGAAGCCCCCGCCAACUACGUGCCAGCAGCCGCGGUAAGACGUAGGGGGCGAGCGUUGUCCGGAUUUAUUGGGCGUAAAGAGCUCGUAGGCGGUUGCGUAAGUCGGAUGUGAAAACUCAGGGCUCAACCCUGAGACGCCAUCCGAUACUGCGCUGACUUGAAUCCAGUAGGGGAGUGUGGAAUUCCUGGUGUAGCGGUGAAAUGCGCAGAUAUCAGGAGGAACACCCAUGGCGAAGGCAGCACUCUGGGCUGGUAUUGACGCUGAGGAGCGAAAGCAUGGGUAGCGAACAGGAUUAGAUACCCCAGUAGUCCCUGAGCGGGCUGGCAAGGCGCAU